ACGGGAGGCAGCAGCUAAGAAUAUUCCGCAAUGGACGAAAGUCUGACGGAGCGACGCCGCGUGGAUGAUGAAGGUCGAAAGAUUGUAAAAUCCUUUUAGGAGUGAAGAAUAAGCGGUGCAGGGAAUGGCAUCACGGUGACGGUAGCUCCUGAAUAAGCAACGGCUAAUUACGUGCCAGCAGCCGCGGUAACACGUAAGUUGCGAGCGUUGUUCGGAAUUAUUGGGCGUAAAGGGCAUGUAGGCGGUUAUGCAAGUCUGGUGUGAAAGGCAGGAGCUCAACUCCUGGACUGCGCCGGAAACUGUAAAACUAGAGUGACUGAGGAGCAAUCAGAAUUCCAGGUGUAGGGGUGAAAUCUGUAGAUAUCUGGAAGAAUACCAAUGGCGAAGGCAGGUUGCUAGCAGAUGACUGACGCUGAGGUGCGAAGGUGCGGGGAGCAAACAGGAUUAGAUACCCUGGUA
rnacentral:rRNA from 1 species